rnacentral:rRNA from 1 species
CCUACGGGUGGCAGCAGUGAGGAAUAUUGGUCAAUGGACGCAAGUCUGAACCAGCCAAGCCGCGUGCAGGAAGACGGCUCUAUGAGUUGUAAACUUCUUUUAUACGAGGGUAAACGCAUAUACGCGUAUCGUUUUGUAAGUACCAUAUGAAUAAGGAUCGGCUAACUCCGUGCCAGCAGCCGCGGUAAUACGGAGGAUUCAAGCGUUAUCCGGAUUUAUUGGGUUUAAAGGGAGCGUAGGCGGUCUGUGAAGUUAGAGGUGAAAGUCCGAGGCUCAACCUCGGAAUUGCAGCUGAUACUGGUAGGCUAGAGAGUAGUAGAGGUGGGCGGAAUGUGUGGUGGAGCGGUGAAAUGCUUAGAGAUCAGGCAGAACACCGAUUGCGAAGGCAGCUUACGGAGCUACUUCUGACGUUGAGGCACGAAAGCGUGGGGAGCAAACAGGAUUAGAUACCCUGGUAGUC